rnacentral:ncRNA from 2 species
GGACGAGACUCUGGAGAGACUCAAAGGAGCACCGAAGGGGAAAACUAAAAUUUUUAGUGAAACUCUCAGGUAAAAGAACGGAGAUUAUAUG